GGCUGGUUCAAGUGGUCCAAGUAUAGUGGUGUUUAUAACUAAGUGAUCAAAACCAGUUACAGAUUUCUUCGUUCCUUCUCCAGGCCUCACUUGACUAGCCAAAA
ensembl:misc_RNA Y_RNA Y RNA